rnacentral:precursor_RNA from 12 species
ACUCUGCAGAUGUAAAUACCAAACACGGGGUGGGAGAACGUGUGUGGGGGAAUGCCGAAGUGGUUUCGCGACAUGCGGUCUCUCAUGGCGUGUCUGGGAUUUACAGCUGACGAGGAG